AGAGGGUCUCGCACUCACACAGGCCAUGAUGGAAGCGAAGGGAAGAUUCCUGCGAUGGGCUGCACCAGCUGUCCGAAGACUCCACCCGAGUGACCGGACCCCAAGCCCUCUCUGACCCUUUUUAACAGGACCAGACCUGGAUCAGAUGCAGACAAGCCUGAAACCCAUCAGAGAAAAUACCAACCCUGAAGCUUCUUUGUCUUAGCAUCCUUUCGUAGCCCCACCCAUUCCAGUCCUGUGGCCUGCACCACAUGGAGCCUCUUUUGGGCCACGCCCACAGCUUUUCUCAGCAGAUGUCCUACAGCCCUGGCUAACUGGAGCCUUACGUUCAUAACUUCAAAUAAUAACGGCCUCUUAGGGCUUCCUUUCAGGAAUUCCAACACUGUUACACAUCGCCUGGCCUGGCAGUUUUCUGGAACCUCCAUGACUUGGUGACUUGCAGACUGUAUGUUUGAAAACCUAGCACCUUGCAGAUAUGCUACCAAGUUCUGCUGACAGCUUGAUGUAUGGGCUAGGCCCCUUUACCACAGGUGUAGUGGGGUCUGUGCGCCACGCUGGGUGGACUUAGAAAACCCUUCCCUAGGGGUAAUGUUUGAGCAGGGGAUCCCUCCAGCAGUCUCAGUCAGACUGCAUUUUUCGGAGACAGGGUUUCUCUGUGUAUCUCUGGGUUUCCUGGAACUCCCGCUGUAGCUCAGGCUGGCCUCAAACUCAGAUCUGCCUGCCUCUGCCUCCUGAGCCCUGGGACUAAAAUCGUGAGCCACCACUACCUGAUUCAAGACUGCAUUUUCCCCCCUUGAGUGUCCUUCAGAGUUUGCAGUUACAGCACCCAAUUUCUCUGUCAUGGCACUAAUUUCUUUAACCAUUAUAGCUGUUUUCUCUCCA